rnacentral:lncRNA from 1 species
GGAUAUAUGCGAUUGUAUGCAAUGUACUAAAGGAUGCGAUCAAACCAGCACUAAUGCACGGAUCCCAUUAGAACUCCGCAGUCAAGCGUGCUUGGGCGAGAGUACUACUAGGAUGAAUGACCUCUCGGGAAAUCCUCUUGUUGCAUCCCUUUUUUGUUUUUUUCUUUUAACCUCUCAUUUUUGUUUAACCAACUAGUACCAUUAUAAUUUAAAUUGUUGCUCUAUUGAGGUUGUUCGAUUAUUUAAUUUUUUUGAAAAAACUACAAAGUAAUCGUAUUAAGAUGGAUGCGUCCCCGGAAAUGCUAUGUUGUAGUAUAUUCUUUAUUAUUUUCGAUUCCAAAGACGCUAAUACGUACGGAACGCCGUAACUUUUAAACCGUGAGGACAUAUUCCGCCAAUAAUACCUUUUCGGAAAGCUCUCGAAAAUUUACUGAAUGGCAAUGGGUCUUCGUUCCUCUGGGCCUCAUUUUCGAACCCAAAUUUUGACGUUUAGAUGUUUCCAUGAAGAUUUUGGGAUUUGGAAGAGAUUAAAGGAUCUGAAAACGUGUUCAGACAUGAUUUAUGCGUCUUUUAGGAAUAGAAGAGCACGUUGAAGCUGGCUAAAAUGGUCCUCGUAUCAAGUGGGACCCAUUACAAAUGAUCUCUUGAAUCCGCAGAUAAGCGUGCUUGGGCGAGAGUAGUACUAGGUUGGGUGACUUCCCGGGAAAUCCUCUUCUUGCAUCCCUUUUUCUGUGUUUUUUUCUUUUAACCUCUCAUUUUUGUUUAACCAAAUAGUACCAUUAUAAUUCAAAUUGUUGCUCUAUUGAGGUUGUUCGAUUAUUAUUUUUUUUGUUGAAAAAAUUACAAAGUAAUCGUAUUAAGAUGGAUGCGUCCCCGGAAAUGAUAUGUUGUAGUUUAUUCUUUAUUAUUUUCGAAUCCAUAGACGCUAAUACGUAUGAAAGUCUGUAACUUUUUAACUGUGAUGACCUAUUCCGCCGAUAAUACAUUUUCGGAAAGCUCUAAAGAAGUUACAAUAUGGCAAUGGGUCUUCGUUCCUUUGGGUCGACCCCAAAUUUUGACGUUUAGGGUGUUUCCUUGAGGUUUUUGUGAUUUGGUAGAGAUUAAAGGAUCGAAAAAAGUGUUCGGACAUGAUUUAUGCGUCUUUACCGUAUAAAAGAGCACGUUGAAGCUGGCUACAGCGGUCCACGUACCAAGUGGGACCUAUUACAAAUGAUAUCAUGAAUCCACGGCAAAUUGUAUACAAUGUACUAACGGAUGCGAUCAUACCGGCACUAAUGCACCGGAUCCCAUAAGAAAUCCGCAGAUAUGCGUGCUUGGGCGAGAGUAGUACUAGGAUUAGUGACCUCCAGGGAAAUCCUAGUGUUGCAUCCCUUUUUAUUUUUAUUUUUUCUUAUAACUUCUCAUUUUUUGUUUAAACAACUAGAACCAUUAUAAUUCAACUUGUUGCUCUAUUGAGGUUGUUCGAUUAUUUUUAUUUUUUUGAAAAAACUACAAACUAAUCGUACUAAGAUGGAUGCGUCCCCGGAUAUGCUUUGUUGUAGUAUAUUAUUUAUUAUUUCGAUUCCAAAGACGCUAAUACGUACGGAACACCGUAACUUUUAAACCGUCAGGACCUAUUCCGCCGAUAAUACCUUUUCAGAAAGCUCUCGAAAGUUACUGAAUUGCAAUGUGUCUUCGUUCUUCAGGGCCUUAUUUUUGAACCCAAAUUUUGACGUUUAGGGUGUUUCCAUGAGGAUUUUGGGAUUUGGAAGAGAUUAAAGGAUCCGAAAACGUGUUCAGACAUGAUUUAUGCGUCUUUUAGGAAUAGAAGAGCAUGUUGAAGCUGGCUAAAAUGGUCCUCGUAUCAAGUGGGACCCAUUACAAAUGAUCUCUUGAAUCCGUGGUAAAGGAUAUAUGCGAUUGCAUGCAAUGUACUAACAUAUGCGAUCAGUCCAGCACUAAUGCACCGGAUCCCAUCAUAACUCCGCAGUUAAGCGUACUUGUGCAAGAGUAGUUCUAGGUUGGGUGACUUCCAGGGAAGUCCUCGUGUUGCAUCCCUUUUUAUUUUUAUUUUUUCUUAAAACUUCUCAUUUUUGGUUUAAACAACUAGUAUCAUUAUAAUUCAACUUGUUGCUCUAUUGAGGUUGUUCGAUUAUUUUAUUUUUGUUGAAAAAACUACAACGUAAUCGUAUUAAGAUGGAUGCGAACCGGAAAUGCUAUGUUGUAGUUUAUUCUUUAUUAUUUUCGAUUCCACAGACGCUAACACGUACGAAACGCGGUAACUUUUAAACCGUGAGGACAUAUUCCGGCAAUAAUACCUUUUCGGAAAGCUCUCGAAAAGUUACAAAGUGGCGAUCGGUCUCUGUUCCUUCGAGCCUCAUUUUCGACCCUAUAUUAUGACGUUUAGGGUGUUUCCAUGAGGUUUUUGUGAUUAAAGGAUCGAAAAAAGUGUUCGGACAUGAUUUAUGCGUCUUGACCAAAUAAAAGAGCACGUUGAAGCUGGCUAAAGCGGUCCACGUAUCAAGUGGGACCCACUAAAAAGAACUCUUGAGUCCGCGGUAAAGGAUAUAUGCGAUUGUAUGCAAUGUACUAAAGGAUGCGAUCAAACCAGCAUUAAUGCACGAUCCCAUUAGAACUCCGCAGUCAAGCGUGCUUGGGCGAGAGUAGUACUAGGAUGGGUGACCUCCCGGGAAAUCCUCUUGUUGCAUCCCUUUUUUGUUUUUUUCUUUUAACCUCUCAUUUUUGUUUAACCAACUAGUACCAUUAUAAUUCAAAUUGUUGCUCUAUUGAGUUUGUUCGAUUAUUAUUUUUUUGUUGAAAAAACUACAAAGUAAUCGUAUUAAGAUGGAUGCGUCCCCGGAAAUGAUAUGUUGUAGUUUAUUCUUUAUUAAUUUUGAUUUCAUAGACGCAAAUACCUACGAAAGUCUGUAACUUUUUAACUGUGAUGACCUUUUCCGCCGAUAAUACAUUUUCGGAAAGCUCUAAAAAAGUUACAAUAUGGCAAUGGGUCUUCGUUCCUUUGGGUCGACCCCAAAUUUUGACGUUUAGGGUGUUUCCUUGAGGUUUUUAUGGUCGGUAGAGAUUAAAGGAUCGAAAAAAGUGUUCGGACAUGAUUUAUGCGUCUUUACCGUAUAAAAGAGCACGUUGAAGCUGGCUACAGCGGUCCACGUACCAAGUGGGACCCAUUACAAAUGAUAUCAUGAAUCCACGGUAACUUGUAUGCAAUGUACUAACGGAUGGGAUCAUACCGGCACUAAUGCACCGGAUCCCAUAAGAAAUCCGCAGAUAAGCGUGUUUGGCUGAGAGUAGUACUAGGAUUGUUGACCUCCAGGGAAGUCCUAGUGUUGCAUCCCUUUUUAUUUUUAUUUUUUCUUAUAACUUCUCAUUUUUUGUUUAAACAACUAGAACCAUUAUAAUUCAACUUAUUGCUCUAUUGAGGUUGUUCGAUUAUUUUUAUUUUUUUCAAAAAACUACAAACUAAUCGUACUAAGAUGGAUGCGUCCUCGGAAAUGCUUUGUUGUAGUAUAUUAUUUAUUAUUUCGAUUCCAAAGACGCUAAUACGUACGGAACUUCGUAAUUUUUAAACCGUCAUGACCUAUUCCGCCGAUAAUACCUUUUCGGAAAGCUCUCGAAAAGUUACUGAAUGGCAAUGGGUCGUCGUUCCUCUGGGCCUCAUUUUCGAACCCAAAUUUUGACGUUUUUGGUGUUUCCAUGAGGAUUUUGGGAUUUGGAAGAGAUUAAAAAAUCCGAAAACGUGUUCAGACAUGAUUUAUGCGUCUUUUAGGUAUAGAAGAGCACGUUGAAGCUGGCUAAAAUGGUCCUCGUAUCAAGUGGGACCCAUUACAAAUGAUCUCUUGAAUCCGCGGUAAAGGAUAUAUGCGAUUGCAUGCAAUGUACUAACAUAUGCGAUCAGUCCAGCACUAAUGCACCGGAUCCCAUCAUAACUCCGCAGUUAAGCGUACUUGGGCAAGAGUAGUACUAGGUUAAGUGACUUCCCGGGAAGUCCUCGUGUUGCAUCCCUUUUUAUUUUUAGUUUUUCUUAAAACUUCUCAUUUUUGGUUUAAACAACAAGUAUCAUUAUAAUUCAACUUGUUUCUCUAUUGAGGUUGUUCGAUUAUUUUAUUUUUGUUGAAAAAACUACAAAGUAAUCGUAUUAAGAUGGAUGUGAACCGGAAAUGCUAUGUUGUAGUUUAUUCUUUAUUAUUUUCGAUUCCACAGACGCUAACACGUACGAAACGCGGUAACUUUUAAACCGUGAAGACAUAUUCCGCCAAUAAUACCUUUUCGGAAAGCUCUCGAAAAGUUACAAAGUGGCGAUCGGUCUCUGUUCCUUCGAGCCUCAUUUUCGACCCUAAAUUAUGACGUUUAGGGUGUUUCCAUGAGGUUUUUGUGAUUAAAGGAUCGAAAAAAAUGUUCGGACAUGAUUUAUGCGUCUUUACCGAAUAAAAGAGUACGUUGAAGCUGGGUAAAGCGGUACACGUACCAAGUGGGACCCACUACAAAUGAUCUCUUGAAUCCGCGGUAAAGGAUAUAUGCGAUUGUAUGCAAUGUACUAAAUGAUGCGAUCAAACCAACACUAAUACACCGGAUCCCAUCAGAACUCCGCAGUCAAGCGUGCUUGGGCGAGAGUAGUACUAGGAUUGGUGACCUCCAGGGAAGUCCUAGUGUUGGAUCCCUUUUUAUUUUUAAUUUUUCUUAUAACUUCUCAUUUUUCGUUUAAACAACUAGAACCAUUAUAAUUCAACUUGUUGCUCUAUUGAGGUUGUUCGAUUAUUUUUAUUUUUUGAAAAAACUACAAAGUAAUCGUAUUAUGAUUGAUGCGUCCCCGGAAAUGCUAUGUUGUAGUAUAUUCUUUAUUAUUUUCGAUUCCAAAGACGCUAAUACGUACGGAUUGCCGUAAGUUUUAAACCGUCAGGACCUAUUCCACCGAUAAUACCUUUUCGGAAAGCUCUCGAAAAGUUACUGAGUGAUUAUGGGUCUUCGUUCCUCUGGACCUCAUUUUCGAACACAAAUUUUGACGUUUAGGGUGUUUCCAUGAGGAUUUUGGGAUUUGGAAGAGAUUAAAGGAUCCGAAAACGUGUUCAGACAUGAUUUAUGCGUCUUUUAGGAAUAGAAGAGCACGUUGAAGCUGGCUAAAAUGGUCCUCGUAUCAAGUGGGACCCAUUACAAAUGAUCUCUUUAAUCCGCGGUAAAGUAUAUAUGCGAUUGCAUGCAAUGUACUAAGAAAUGCGAUCAGUCCAGCACUAAUGCACUGGAUCCCAUCAUAACUCCGCAGUUAAGCGUACUUGGGCAAGAGUAGUACUAGGUUGGGUGACUUCCCGGGAAGUCCUCGUGUUGCAUCCCUUUUUAUUUUAAUUUUUUCUCAAAACUUCUCAUUUUUGGUUUAAACAACUAGUAUCAUUAUAAUUCAACUUGUUGCCCUAUUGAGGUUGUUCGAUUAUUUUAUUUUUGUUGAAAAAACUACGAAGUAAUUGUAUUAAGAUGGAUGCGAACCAGAAAUGCUAUGUUGUAGUUUAUUCUUUAUUAUUUUCGAUUCCACAGACGCUCAUACGUACGAAACGCGGUAACUUUUAAACCGUGAGGACAUAUUCCGCCAAUAAUACCUUUUCGGAAAGCUCUCGAAAAGUUACAAAGUGGUGAUCGGUCUCUGUUCCUUCGAGCGUCAUUUUCGACCCUAAAUUUUUACGUUUAGGGUGUUUCCAUGAGGUUUUUGUGAUUAAAGAAUCGAAAAAAGUGUUCGGACAUGAUUUAUGCGUCUUUACCGAAUAAAAGAGCACGUUGAAGCUGGCUAAAGCGGUCCACGUAUCAAGUGGGACCCACUAAAACUGAUCUCUUGAGUCCGCGUUAAAGGAUAUAUGCGAUUGAAUGCAAUGUACUAAAGUAUGCGAUCAAACCAGCACUAAUGCACGGAUCCCAUUAGAACUCCGCAGUCAAGCGUGCUUGGGCGAGAGUAGUACUAGGAUGAGUGACCACCCGGGAAAUCCUCUUGUUGCAUCCCUUUUAUUGUUUUUUUUUCUUUUAACCUCUCAUUUUUUUUUAACCAACUAGUACCAUUAUAAUUUAAAUUGUUGCUCUAUUGAGGUUGUUCGAUUAUUAUUUUUUUGUUGAAAAAACUACAAAUUAAUCGUAUUAAGAAGGACGUGUCCCCGGAAAUGC